GCAUAUCAAUAAGCGGAGGAAAAGAAACCAACCGGGAUUGCCUCAGUAACGGCGAGUGAAGCGGCAAAAGCUCAAAUUUGAAAUCUGGCUCCUUCGGGGUCCGAGUUGUAAUUUGCAGAGGAUGCUUCGGGUGCGGCCCCCAUCUAAGUGCCCUGGAACGGGUCGUCAUAGAGGGUGAGAAUCCCGUAUGGGAUGGGGUGUCCGCGUCCGUGUGAAGCUCCUUCGACGAGUCGAGUUGUUUGGGAAUGCAGCUCUAAAUGGGUGGUAAAUUUCAUCUAAAGCUAAAUACUGGCCGGAGACCGAUAGCGCACAAGUAGAGUGAUCGAAAGAUGAAAAGCACUUUGAAAAGAGAGUUAAACAGCACGUGAAAUUGUUGAAAGGGAAGCGCUUGCGAUCAGACUCGCCUACGGGGUUCAGCCGGCUUUCGGGCCGGUGUACUUCCCCGUGGGCGGGCCAGCGUCGGUUUGGGCGGCCGGUCAAAGGCCCCUGGAAUGUAGCGCCUCUCGGGGCGCCUUAUAGCCAGGGGUGCAAUGCGGCCUGCCUGGACCGAGGAACGCGCUUCGGCACGGACGCUGGCAUAAUGGUCGUAAGCGACCCGUCUUGAAACACGGACCAAGGAGUCUAACAUCUACGCGAGUGUUCGGGUGUCAAACCCGUGCGCGGAGUGAAAGCGAACGGAGGUGGGAGCCCCCUCGCGGGGCGCACCAUCGACCGAUCCUGAUGUCUUCGGAUGGAUUUGAGUAAGAGCGUAAAUGUGGGGACCCGAAAGAUGGUGAACUAUGCCUGAAUAGGGCGAAGCCAGAGGAAACUCUGGUGGAGGCUCGCAGCGGUUCUGACGUGCAAAUCGAUCGUCGAAUUUGGGUAUAGGGGCGAAAGACU
rnacentral:rRNA from 1 species